AUGGGCACAGCUCACCCUUCCCGUGACCUGAGUUUGUGCUGCUGCAGCAUUCCUCAGGCAGCUCGUGACCUCAGUUAUUCCUCAGUUCUCAAAACGUCACUGCCUGUAUUUUCAGGUGUUUUAAAACCAACUUCCCUUUUUACAGUGCCAUUGAAACAGCUUUCUGUCAUUUUCUACUGCUCAGCAUUUUGGGAAUAUAUCAUUACACAGAAAAGUUAUCUCAGGGGCUCAGGGCCCAGGAUUUGGGCCCUCACGAGUUAUGGAAUAACAGGAUCAGAGUAUGACAAUGAAUCUAGAGCCUGUGAGGCAGGAAGAAUGGGGCCGGUUGUUCAAACGCUGCCGCUGCCAGGUCCUUGGGGCAUGAUCUGGGAUGAAUCACCCUGUUCUGUGCGCCCUAACCCCAUGCCAAGGAAGAACCAGAAAGGUGCCAUUUUAAGGAGUCACUUGGACUCUCACGGGGGGAAAGGCAGCCCAGAGACCGCCGGGCCCAGCUUCCCCCUCGCCAAAGCCCGCGCCCGUCGCUGGUCACGUUCUGCCCUCUAGUGCUCGUUCUCCCAGAGCUUCUGCAAGCCGAGUUCACCGGGAGGACUGGGAAUGCGUUCGUACGGAACAGCCGUCGGGAGCUUUCCAUGGAACUGCAAUUUCUGAGCUGUUUCCCUUCCCUGCUCCGCACGUGGCACAGGAGGAAUCACCCGGGCUCUGCAGGAGCGUGCUAGUGCCCGGCUCCCGUGCAGUGCACGCACGGGUUGACAGCAACAUACAUCCAAGAACAGCAGCCCCGAGUGCUGCCCGCUCCCAGGCAGCCCUAACUUCGGCCCAGACUUGCUUGAUUCCCAGUGGAAGCACAUUUCCCACACCAUUAGAAAUCCAGGUGAGUUGGAGAGAGGAGAAAGACUGAUUUGAGAAGUUUACUAAAGCACUUAAGAAACUGGCAUUGAGAUGCACGUGAGAAUUCCCAAAUUUAACCAGUUUGUUUUUGUGGGCAUUUGAUUAUUCCCAUCUUCUCCGGGAUUCCUCACUUUGUUCUAGGGAAUAUUUUUUGCUUUUCUGGGAGUUUUCUUUGUAGUGAGAAUGAUUAAUAUUCAUGCAGAAAUUCUGCAGCAAUUGAAGCCUCCAGCGAUCCAGAGCCUCAGAGCAGAGAGAGGUUAAUAUUCUUCCUCCUUCCAUUCCUCCUGUUGCUUGCAGAGGAAUGAUGUGGUCCGUGCAGGGAUAUGAACAAGGAGGAACUGUGGAUGAUUGUGGGAAAUAAAGGGCUCUCUCAGGAAAAAGCUCA
rnacentral:lncRNA from 1 species